CCUACGGGAGGCAGCAGUGGGGAAUAUUGGACAAUGGGGGCAACCCUGAUCCAGCCAUGCCGCGUGUGUGAAGAAGGCCCUCGGGUUGUAAAGCUCUUUCAGUGAGGAAGAACGCCUGGUGGUUAAUACCCAUCAGGAAAGACAUCACUCACAGAAGAAGCACCGGCUAACUCCGUGCCAGCAGCCGCGGUAAUACGGAGGGUGCGAGCGUUAAUCGGAAUUACUGGGCGUAAAGCGCGCGUAGGUGGCUUGAUAAGCCGGUUGUGAAAGCCCCGGGCUCAACCUGGGAACGGCAUCCGGAACUGUCAAGCUAGAGUGCAGGAGAGGAAGGUAGAAUUCCCGGUGUAGCGGUGAAAUGCGUAGAGAUCGGGAGGAAUACCAGUGGCGAAGGCGGCCUUCUGGACUGACACUGACACUGAGGUGCGAAAGCGUGGGUAGCAAACAGGAUUAGAUACCCGGGUAGUC
rnacentral:rRNA from 1 species